AAUGAACGUUGGCGGCGUGGAUUAGGCAUGCAAGUCGAGCGAGAACCCCGCAAGGGGGGACAGCGGCAAACGGGGUAGGAAUGCGUAGGCGACGUACCCUGAGGACCGGGAUAGCCACGGGAAACUGUGGGUAAUACCGGAUGAUCUCUUCCGGCAUGAGGGCCGGGAGAGCAAAUGGUGAGAUUCCGCCUUGGGAGCGGCUUACGUGGUAUCAGGUAGUUGGUGAGGUAACGGCUCACCAAGCCGAAGACGCCUGGGGGGUGUGAGAGCAUCGGCCCCCACCACUGGGACUGAGACACUGCCCAGACACCUACGGGUGGCUG
rnacentral:rRNA from 1 species